GACGAACGCUGGCGGCGUGCUUAACACAUGCAAGUCGAACGGAGCGAAUGAAAGCUUGCUUUUAUGAGCUUAGUGGCAAACGGGUGAGUAACACGUAGACAACCUGCCGAUAGGAUGGGGACAACAUUCCGAAAGGAAUGCUAAUACCGAAUGGCGUGUAGGGGAGGCAUCUCCCGUACAUGAAAGAUGGCCUCUGAAUAUGCUAUCACCUAUCGAUGGGUCUGCGUCUGAUUAGCUAGUAGGUAAGGUAACGGCUUACCUAGGCGACGAUCAGUAGCCGGUCUGAGAGGAUGAACGGCCACAUUGGGACUGAGACACGGCCCAGACUCCUACGGGAGGCAGCAGUGGGGAAUCUUCCGCAAUGGGCGCAAGCCUGACGGAGCAACGCCGCGUGAGUGAAGAAGGUCUUCGGAUCGUAAAGCUCUGUUGAAGGGGACGAACGUAUAUAGUGCGAAUAGUGCUGU
rnacentral:rRNA from 1 species